AACCAACAACAAAAAGUUACUGAAGUAUUUAUCCAGACAUGGAAAUAUCAACACAUUUUAUAUAAUAUGUAAGUAUUUCAGUUGUGCUAAGAUAUGAAUCUACAAAUCAACACGAAUUUAUGGAAACAAAAGCAAUGCUGUUUGUAUGUAAUUACGGUAUGAUGGAAAAUAGCAUAUCCAAAAAUAACUGAACAUAAUUAAAUUAAUUGAAAAUAUUGUAUUGUUAAGGGAGUAAUUUAUAAGGAGGUCUAUAUUUUCUCCUACACAAUGUGGGAAUUACCACCCCCUCUCAAUACUAAACUGUGACCUAAUGAUAUUGUCUAAAGUCUUAACAAAAAAGACUAGAACGCUUUAUAAGAACCCGGUUUACCCUGAUCAGGUUGGCUUUUUCCAACACCGGUACGGCGCUGAUGGCAAACAAAUAAAAGUAUAUAAAAUGGGCUAUGAGGACCUGCCAAACCCCUGCCAUAGCUCUGUCCCUGGAUGCUGAGAAUGCAUUUGAUAGGGUGGAGUGGGGUUUCCUUUUUAAAGGCCUGGAGUCCGAUGGAUUUCGCCCCCACUUUAUAUGAUGGAUCAAAACCCUGUAUUCCGGGGGCCAGUGCCACAGUUACCGCCAAUGGAACUAUUUCUAAUCAAUUCAGGCUCCAUAGAGCCCCACAGUGCAGGUGUCAUAAUACCCAUAAAACCUAGCGGUCAAACAGGGAAAUGGUUCCAAUCGUUUUCACACCAUCUAUCAAAUAAAACUCCUGGAGUCUAUAGAGUGAACCUUGGAGUAAUAUCAUCUGACUCCAUGCCGUGAAGAGAAUAUGGGAAAUAGACUUGGACUGCGAUAUCACCAAGGCAGAAUGGAAUGAGGUUUUCGGCAGAUGUCUCUAAAGCUAACGCAAUCGAAAACGAUACACCUUUACCAUUCGACUCCUAGUAAGCUUCACAGGGUCGGUCUGAAGCCCACAGACGCCUGCUGCUGGAGAUGUUCAUCUGAAGAGGGGACUUAUCUACAUAUGGUAUGGGAUUGUGAAAAAAAUCGGGAGGUUUUGGACUGAACAGCCACAAAAACAUGUGUAACCCUGGUCCUAACAGUUGUCAAAAUAACUGUUGGGGCUACAUCAAAUAUACUGUAUACAGCUGGACUAAUCGACCAUAUAAUGUGUACAUAAUUUUAAGAACGCUUGCAAAGUACAUUUUAUAUAUUUAUGAACACAUUCUGCUAAAUGUGCAAAAAUGUGUACGAUUAUGUAAGAACAACAAAUCUAUAAUGUCAAUUGUCCUCAAUAUUAUUUAUUGUAUUAUUUUUUCAUCUGUGUCUGAAACAAAAAAUACAAUCUAACUAAGAUUUAAAAAAGCUCUAUCUUUAAUGUUUAUUGAAAGGAGGUUGUCAAAGAUAACUGGUGGAGUUUACCAGCAAGGAGAGCCUCACUUCACUACAUGAAAUGACCAUUAUCCCCAGCAUCGACUAUGAAGCUACAGUGCCUUUCGAGUCCAGAUUGCUGUCCCUCAAAAAAACGGGUCCUGUAGACCUGUCUAACCGCCAGUCUGCCAGUCAGUGCCAACCACAGACAACCAUCCCCAUCAACGACCUCAUACAGAGACUGUCCAAAGAGGACAGUAGACAUACCAGCUAACAGAAGAGAAUGUCUGUGCUUCCUGGUCUGCUCGCUGCUGAACGGCAUAGCUGCUGCAUAUUUCCCAGAACGCAACAUUCUUCCCUCCUCCAUGAACGGCUUCCGGAAGCUGGGCUGUGAACUAGACAUGUUUCACGACCUGGAUGACAUCAAUGGAAGGAAUCUUAAGCAGGUACCAGACAAAGAGGUCUGAGCGGGCGGCGACCCAGAGUAUCCUGUCUGUGAUUGGGGAGUGUGUAGACCAGUUUGGGACCUGGCGUCGGGGUGCAGAAGAUCCUCAACGCUCGCUGUCCCCUGGUCCGCUUCACCCACCGACCAUUAGGGUUCCAGUGUGACCUCACAGCCAAUAGGGCAGAGAGCAGAACAAACCUGAGGUCUCUCCCUUCACAUCCAGAACCCCUUCAAGCCAGCGCUGAACGUCAGUAAGCACGUUAACAGAACACAGCCGGAGCACUUUGUGGCGUUGAGUCGGGAGAGUGCCUGGAUGAUGCAGCAGCGGGAGUUCAAAGUACCGCACAGCAGCGGCAGUAACGGGACCGGUAUCAGGUACAAUGCUCCCUGGGGCUUGGCUGUGCUCCUCAUGCACUCCGUCUCCCAGGCGGCCAGCAAGAGGCUCGAGAUCCUGCUGGAGUCUCUAAAGAACAGGGAGGAGAAGAAGACGGGCAACAGUAUCAACACCACGAGGAAAAAGAGCUAGAGGAGAAGAUUCAUUGUGUUUGUGGGUAUCCGUCUGAGCCCAGGCGAGAUGCAGAAUCACUUAUUUCGAUCAGUAGUCAUUUGGGAUGCAAAAUUAUUUGUAGAUCACUCAUACUGUGCACUCUGCACACGGUUUUGUAGACCAUCACCACUAGAUGGCACUGGUGAGGUAUAAGUCCAAGGGCAACACGCACUUAAAGUCCUACCCUUAAAGACACCACAUUAGUGGACUUAUGAGCCGAGCCAAGCUGUACUGAGCUGGCCUGUUUAGACAUCCGCUAUGGUAGCUGGAACUGUCCUGACGAAAAUAUAGAAGCUGGCGCAGUAUGGUUUGGAUUGGCAUGAUUGUGUGAAAUGGGGUAUAAAUGUUUCCGUGACCAGAUGCUCUUGAUAAGAAAGGACUUAUUUACUCUCCAUGCCAACCUUUGCAAAUAAUGUACUUAAAGAAGAUAUUAACUUCUA